GACGAACGCUGGCGGCGUGCCUAAUACAUGCAAGUCGAACGAGAGCGACCGGUGCUUGCUCUGGUCAAUCUAGUGGCGAACGGGUGAGUAACACGUGGGUAACCUGCUCAUCAGAGGGGGAUAACAUCCGGAAACGGAUGCUAAAACCGCAUAGGUCUUCGAGCCGCAUGGCUUGAAGAGGAAAAGAGGCGCAAGCUUCUGCUGAUGGAUGGACCCGCGGUGCAUUAGCUAGUUGGUGAGGUAACGGCUCACCAAGGCCGUGAUGCAUAGCCGACCUGAGAGGGUGAUCGGCCACAUUGGGACUGAGACACGGCCCAAACUCCUACGGGAGGCAGCAGUAGGGAAUCUUCCGCAAUGGACGCAAGUCUGACGGAGCAACGCCGCGUGAGUGAAGAAGGUGUUCGGAUCGUAAAACUCUGUUGUUAGAGAAGAACAAGUGCUAGAGUAACUGUUAGCGCCUUGACGGUAGCUAACCAGAAAGCCACGGCUAACUACGUG
rnacentral:rRNA from 1 species